AUCAUAGCCGAGCCAGAAUGCAUACAUGGAGGAGCGUGAUAAUGUUGAUUGGGCGGCAUUAUGCGCUUCAUUAGCUGAUAAGCGGCUGUGAGGAAUUUAGAGGGAGCCAGGAUUCUUGACUUCGAUGAGUUUUUGAUCCCGGAUUCGGCGCCAGCGGGUCCACCAGAGCCACCCACUCAAGCGUUUUCUCAUGGGUCUGCCGAGCCAGCGGUGUCUUCCCAUAUGACUACCGAGCCACAGGAUUCGGCGCCAGUGGGUCCACAGGAGCGACCCAUUCAGGAGCAUUCUCAUCAGCCUGCCGAGGCAGAGGUGUCUUCUCAUGAGACUACCGAGGCGCAGGUGACUACCUCAUAUUCACCACCACACCCAUCUCAGGAGCCUACAGACCCAUCUCAGGAGCCUACUCAGGCGCCCGUUGACACACAGAUUUGAUUAAAUAAAUAACGUUAAUGUAUUCAAUAUAAA